ACACGCUGGCGGCGUGCCUAACACAUGCAAGUCGAGCGGGGUCCAUCCGGUAGCAAUACCGGGGAAGACCUAGCGGCGAACGGGUGAGUAACACGUGAGAAACCUGCCCCGAAGUCUGGGAUAACCCGAGGAAACUCGAGCUAAUACCGGAUGUCUUCUUCUGAUCGCAUGGUCGGAUGAAGAAAGAUUUAUCGCUUCGGGAGGGUCUCGCGGCCUAUCAGCUAGUUGGCGGGGUUAACGGGCCCACCAAGGCGUCGACGGGUAGCUGGUCUGAGAGGACGAUCAGCCACACUGGGACUGAGACACGGCCCAGACUCCUACGGGAGGCAGCAGUGGGGAAUAUUGCGCAAUGGGCGAAAGCCUGACGCAGCAACGCCGCGUGCGGGAUGAAGGCCUUCGGGUUGUAAACCGCUUUCAGUGGGGACGAAUUCAGACGGUACCCACAGAAGAAGCCCCGGCCAACUACGUG
rnacentral:rRNA from 1 species